AUCGCUUCUCGGCCUUUUGGCUAAGAUCAAGUGUAAAAAAGUUAAAAAAAGUGAGACAUGUUUAUUAUUAUUUUUUGUUAGGGAAAAGGGCAGAAUCCUA
rnacentral:snRNA from 1 species